rnacentral:lncRNA from 1 species
UUCAGUUCCCAGGACCCAUGUCAGAUGGCUUACAACUAACUCCAGCUUCAGAAAAUAUGACACCCUUUCAUGAACACUUCGACUUCGACACACAUGCAUAUACUCCAGCAGGCGCACACACGUACCCAGAAAUAUAUAAUAACAGAAAUAAUAAAAUAUACCUUUAAAAAAGUUGUACAGAAAUUGUAUAUUUUGUACAAAAAUUUAGAUUCUGCAGCGUUUUAAUAGUUUAGGGAGAAGAUACUUGCUUUGUCAGUAAGCUUUUAGAAAGUCUUCUAUUUCUAAAAAUAAAAUUUGGGGAUGACUUUAUUUACUGAAAACUGUCUAGUUAUGUCACUCAGGAUCAGUAGGGAUAAUAUCAGAUGUCCUGUUCAAGAUGGAUUAUAAAGUAAAAGGGCCACUUAAAGAAUUUAUUCCUAAUAGAGAUAUAUAAUAUUUAUUAGAGGUAGAAAAUGCUCACUGUUUUUUAAUGUUCAGUAUUUUUUUGGUCAUUGUUUUUGUUUUUUGAGACAGGGGUUCUCUGUGUAGCCCUGGCUGUCCUGGAGCUCUGUAGACCAUGCUAGUCUGGAACUCAGAGAACCACCUGCCUCUGCCUCCCAAAUGCAGAUUAAAGGUGUGUUCUAUUUUGAAAUUUUAUUUUAUUUUUUUGUAAAAUUGAAUAGUGUAGAGAAUUACUUUUACCAUAUACCCAUCUUGGUAUCCCCUAAUGCUAGCACCUUAUAUAAUUGUGCAUUUAUCAAAACCAAUAAAUGCAGGCUGAGUUUUGAACAACUUUUGGUGGGAACACCUGUUACAUAUGAAGCAUGUUAGCUUCUGAAGUAUGUACAGUGUUGGAAAACAAGUUCUUUACAUGUAAUAUUACUAACAAACUGGUAAGCUUAGUGUUGUGACCUCGUAGUGUUUUUCCAAGUUCUUUUUGGGACUGCAAUAUAGACCACAAAUAAAAGCUAUGUUCACAUAACUUUAUUGUUUUGUUCAUUUGGUUUGUUUAUUUUUUGAUUGAUUGAUAUCCCAAGGCUGGUAGUCUUUCUCUGUGUAGCCUUGACUGUCCCAGAACUUACUCUAGACCAGGCUGGCCUCAAACUCAGAGAUAUACCUGCCUUUGCCUCCCAAGUGCUGGGAUUAAAAGUGUGUACCACCACCUCCUGGUCAACUUUAUUGUUAAGUACACAUAAUUUUAACUUCUAAGGUCAGCCAGUGACUUUGAGGGUAGACCCUUAAGUUAUCUUUAUUAUCUCAGAACCCUGUUGCUUAUUAUUUUAUUCCCAGCACUUUAAUAGUGUCUAAUAGAUAGCAGAUGCUACAUGUUGUAUUAGUGAGUACAUCAGUGACUGACUGAAGCCAUAUGGAUACACCCAGGAUCUAAGAUAGAAGAAUUGAAUGAUGAUUACAGUUUCUCCAUCUCUGCAUUAAGUUUAUUUCUUCUCUGUUUUGUCUCAAUUAUACAAUGUUUGCCAAAACUAGAAACUUGUUUUGUUUGUUGUCUUAGGGUUUCUAUUGCUACCAUGAAACACCUCAACCAAAAAGCAAGUUGGGGAUGAAAUUGUUGAUUUAGUUUACACUUCCACAUUGCUGUUUAUCACCAAAGGAAGUUAGAACUGGAACUCAAGCAAGACAGGAGCCUGAAAGCAGGAACUGAUGCAGAGGCCAUGGAGGAGUGCUGCUUACUGACUUGCUUCAUAUCGCCUACUCAGCUUGCUUUCUUCUAGAACUUAGUACUGCUAGCCCAGGGAUGACGCCACCCACAGUGGGUUAGGCACUUCCCAGUUGAUAACUAAUUGAAAAUGCCUUACAGCUGGAUCUUAUAGAGGAAAUUCCUCACGACUCUUUGAUGACUCUUAACUUGUGUCAGGUGGAUAUACAAAACCAUCCAGUUAUUACACUUGGCUUCUGAGACUUACCUAAAACGAUUGAUAAGAGUGUUAGUUUCACCAGGCAGUGGUGGUACAUGCCUUGAAUUUCAGCACUUGGAAGGCAGAAGCAGGUGAAUCUUUGAGUUCAGCCUGGUCUAUAAAGCGAGUUUUAGGUGGUCAAGGCUACACAAAGAAACCCUGUCUCC